GCCAGGCACAGUAGUGCACGCCUGUAAUCCCAGUGGCUUGGGAGGCUGAGGCAGGAGGUUCGUGAGUUCAAAGCCAGCCUCAGCAACAGUGAGGUGCUAAGCAACUCAGUGAGACCCUGUCUCUA
rnacentral:sRNA from 1 species